rnacentral:rRNA from 1 species
CCUACGGGAGACAGCAGUAGGGAAUAUUGCUCAAUAGGGGAAACCCUGAAGCAGCAACGCCGCGUGGAGGAUGAAGGUUUUAGGAUUGUUAACUCCUUUUGUUAGAGAAGAUUAUGACGGUAUCUAACGAAUAAGCACCGGCUAACUCCGUGCCAGCAGCCGCGGUAAUACGGCGGGUGCAAGCGUUACUCGGAAUCACUGGGCGUAAAGGGUGCGUAGGCGGGGUAAUAAGUCAGAUGUGAAAUCCUGUAGCUUAACUACAGAACUGCAUUUGAAACUGUUACUCUGGAGUGUGGGAGAGGUAGGGGGAAUGCGUGGUGUAGGGGUAAAAUCCGUAGAGAUCAAGAGGAAUACUGAUUGCGAAGGCGACCUGCUGGAACAUUACUGACGCUGAUGCACGAAAGCGUGGGGAGCAAACAGGAUUAGAUACCCGAGUAGUC